rnacentral:rRNA from 1 species
UAAUACGGAGGGUGCAAGCGUUAUCCGGAUUUACUGGGUUUAAAGGGAGCGCAGGCGGAUUGGUAAGUCAGUGGUGAAAUACCCGUGCUUAACAUGGGAACUGCCAUUGAUACUAUCAGUCUUGAAUAUCGUUGAGGUUUGCGGAAUGGGUCAUGUAGCGGUGAAAUGCAUAGAUAUGACCCGGAACACCUAUUGCGAAGGCAGCAGGCUAAACGAAGAUUGACGCUGAGGCUCGAAAGCGUGGGGAUCAAACAGGAUUAGAUACCCUGGUAGUCCACGCCCUAAACGAUGAUUACUCGACAUUUGUGAUACACAAUAAGUGUCUGAGCGAAAGCAUUAAGUAAUCCACCUGGGAAGUACGACCGCAAGGUUG